AGGAAAGGAGGAGAUGAAAGUCUGAGUGGGAACCUGGGAACUCUCAGCAGGGACACAGCCUCAGAGGUUCAAAUGGGCCUAGGAUUCUGUAGCAGCAACUACAGGAACCCCAGGCCCCCCUUCUCCUGAGCUUCAGACUCACAUCAGCUGACCUCCCGGGACCUCCAGACAGUGAGCCCAGGCUUGAGGCCGCCCUGAACCACCUCAGCUCCGGGGAAUGCUUGGAAUCCUGAGGAGGAUGAGUGAGGAACCUGAAGGUGCCCUGGAGACUCAUCCCUGGGAGGUUGGGCCUGGGCCAGAGCACUCGACGGGAGGAGGAAGAAAGAGACUAUACCUGGACAGGUCCAAGUCUGCACACCACCGGGAAGCAAUGGGGCUCCCUCGCCUGUCACCGACCUCCCUGCGCCCUCACCCGCCCCGGCACCCUCAGCUGGCCAGCCACUGGCAGACGGGAGAGACUGGGACAACGGGCACUUGUGGCUGGGCUACCCCCUGCUAGGGGGCAUGGGGCUGAGUCACCAAGGGUGUCCUGUCCUGGUGGCAGGCCUGGAGGGGUAAUGCUCUGGGGCUCCAGCACUGGCAUUCACAUGCCCAGGGGCUGCCCAUCGGCUCUUGCAGGGACUUGAGAGGACAAAACCUAAAAGAGAAACUGAGGCUCAAAAGAAUAGACUUGUCCAAGGCAGGCCAACCAGAACACAGGCUCCCUACGCACCACUGACCCACUUCUUUCACCAUGGUCACCCUUAGUCACCCACCAUAAGUCUCAGCACCCUCCGGGUCGGGAAGUCCCCUCUCCUGUCUGACCUCCAUUCAUCUUACUGCAAGGUGAGUCCCCAGGAGCUGAUCAAUGGCAUGUUCUGUCGAGGCAGAGGCUGCCUUUGAGAUGCCUGUUCAGGUGCUGGCUUUACGGAUGACUUUUAGGGUUCUGGGGCAGGGAGCCGACUUUCGUUCAACAUCACCUCGUGGGCUGCCCGUGUAAGUCUGUGUGUGCAUGUGUGUGUUGCAUAUGUGUGCCCGUGUCCAAGUAGCUGUAUGUUUUUGCUCGAGUGCCUAUUGGUCUGUGUGUUUGUCCUGUCUGCUACACACCUGUGGACGUGUAUGUCUGGACAUCGUGCCUGCGGUGCUGCUCUGUGUCUGCUUGUCUGCCAGCUACCUGUCUGCCUGCCAUCUACCUGUGUUCUGUGCCCGAGCGGCUGUAGCGGUGUUGUCUUUGUGUCAGUCACGCCUGCGUGUGUUGCCUGUGUGUCUGUGUGUGGCUGUAAGACUGUUCUUGUGCGUGUCUACCUGUCUACUUCUUCUAGGUAUCUGCGUGUCUGUGCUGGUAUGUGCCUGUGUCUGUCUGGGGGUUUGUCUGUCUGCCUCUCCUUGGCUGUCUGUCUACACAGGAGGCAGGAACGCGGAGCAGGGGAGACAGCAGAGCCAGGCGCUUGGCGCCGAGCCUGCUCAGCGGAAUCGCGUGACUCACUGGGCUCCUUGGCCAAGAAGCAGAGGAAAAGGGCAGGGCCCUGGGGGUGCUGGACAUCCCACUUUCCUUUUCCAUGGUCCCCUCCCUCCUGGUGACUCAUUCUCUGUCUCUUCUCCAGAAGGGGGCCUUGUCCAAGGGCCCGGGACAGAGCAGCAGGCCAGGGUCUCCUGGAAGACUUCCCCAGGAGUCCUCCAGAGGCAGGUGGCCCGAAUCUCCACGGUGACUGUGCCCUUCAUGCGGGACCCUAGGCAGCACUGCCUGUCUCUGCGCCUCCAUUUCCGUCUGUACUCAGGGGCUCCCUAGACACUCUCUGGGAUGCUCUUCUUUCUAUGGGAAGGUGAGGCCAGUGACCCACCCAAGAACACCGAACUAAAGUCUAGGCCUCCUCCGCUCUUCCUAGAGACCCAAAGCUGUUCCCGCCCCGAAAUCCUCCAGCUGCCCUGGGUGCCCAGAAUGGAGCCUUCUCCAGAAGCUGAGCAGGACAGUUGUGCUCCCUGAACCCGUGCCUGAAGACCCAGUCCUGCACUGGAGGUUCAGGUGCUGGGUCCCAAACAGCACUGUAGCCAAGGUGGGAGUUCCAGGGGCUCCCUGUGGCUGGCUGCACAAACCCAGAGCUCAGAGUGGUGACUCCUGGGACUGAAUCUGAGUCUGAGACCCUGCUGAUAUGGAAGCAUCUGGGGGAACAAAGACAAAAAAAAAAAGUGUCUGGGGGCACGCUGUGAUGUGCUGGGCUCCUCCAGGCCCUUGGAUUGUUUUAUACAAAACACCCACAAGGCUGAGUGAUAGAACGCUGUGCUGCCAGAGCAGGCCAGAGCAUGUGGGAGAUAAGAUCCCAGGCCAGGUGGAGGUACGUUGUGCCAUGCCAUGCCAUGCUGCAUGCUUUGAUUUUUUUCAUUCAUUCAACAACUAUUUGUUAGACGUUAGCUGCAUGACAUACUCUGUGCCAGGUACAGAGUGCUGAGGGUUGAACCAAACAGACCCGGUUACUAUGAUUGUGAAAUUUGCCUUCUCAUAGGAAGACAGACACAAAAGUGAGCUAGAAUGAGAUCAAGAGUCAUUCUAAAAUGUGAAAUGCUAUGGAAGCAGGAACAGAGCAUAAACACCUGGAGUCCUGUUUGGCCACAGGGCCUGAACUCCAGGAGGGAGGGGGCGGAGGAGCAGCAGGCGCCAGGGAGGAGGAAGCCUCAGGCAGGCCCCUCAGGCUACAAGAAGGAGCUGGAAUUAUCUUUUGUCACUGAGGAGAUUUAAAUGUGACAGUGAAAUAAUCUGAUUUACAUGGGCAAAAGUUCCCUCUGGCUGAGCUCCAGAGCAGAUGACUGCAGAGUAAAAGUGGAUUCAAAAAGGCAGAACAAGAGGCCAUGGUAUCGCCCAGGCCAGCGAUGCUUAGGUCUGGACCUGGCUGAUAGUGGUGGCCAUCAAAAGAGGAUCUGUUUAGGGUGUAUUGUGGAGGUGGGAAUGGACACGACCUGCUUCAGGAUGGGAUGUGGUCGGGGAGAGGAGAGAUCACAGAAGGCUGCUGGGUUUCUAGCCUGGCAGGUAAAGACAACUGCAAACCUCUGCCCCAGCAGAGCUCAGUGGCACACACCUAUAAUUCUACCUGUUCUGGAGGUAGAGCGGGAGGAUCACUUGCUUGCAGGGAGUCAGGGCUGGCCUGGGCCACAGAGCAAGCUCCCGUUUCUGCAGAAGUCUGGCAGAGAGGAAGGAGGGGUGAAAUAAACAAAGGAGGGGUGAAAUAAACAGAGCAGGAGCGGCAGAUAGGAGAAAACCAGGCGAGCUCAGGGUACAGAAGCCAACUGAAGGCCAGGCUCACUGCCACAUGCCUGUAAUCCCAGCACUCUGAGAGGCUGAGGUAGGAGGAUUGAAAGUUUAAGCCCAGC